ensembl:ncRNA C09B7.10 ncRNA
AAUCUAAAAAAAGAAUUCUGAAUAAUUUCCAAAAUUUGCAUAAAUAAUGCAACCUUUGAUUAUCUUGCUCCCCUCUUUCUGUCGAUCCUCCUACGUACUUUUGAAGUUUGCUCUGGAAGAGAAAAAGGCAAAAUUUCCAAAAAAAUCUCGAAACCUCUCCGGUUACGGAAAGCAAUAUUCUAG